rnacentral:rRNA from 1 species
GAUGAACGCUGACAGAAUGCUUAACACAUGCAAGUCAACUUGAAUUUGGGUUUUUAACUUAGAUUUGGGUGGCGAACGGGUGAGUAACGCGUAAAGAACUUGCCUCACAGCUAGGGACAACAUUUAGAAAUGAAUGCUAAUACCUGAUAUUAUGAUUUUAAGGCAUCUUAGAAUUAUGAAAGCUAUAAGCACUGUGAGAGAGCUUUGCGUCCCAUUAGCUAGUUGGAGAGGUAACAGCUCACCAAGGCGAUGAUGGGUAGCCGGCCUGAGAGGGUGAACGGCCACAAGGGGACUGAGACACGGCCCUUACUCCUACGGGAGGCAGCAGUGGGGAAUAUUGGACAAUGGACCAAGAGUCUGAUCCAGCAAUUCUGUGUGCACGAUGAAGUUUUUCGGAAUGUAAAGUGCUUUCAGUUGGGAAGAAAAAAAUGACGGUACCAACAGAAGAAGUGACGGCUAAAUACGUGCCAGCAGCCGCGGUAAUACGUAUGUCACGAGCGUUAUCCGGAUUUAUUGGGCGUAAAGCGCGUCUAGGUGGUUAUGUAAGUCUGAUGUGAAAAUGCAGGGCUCAACUCUGUAUUGCGUUGGAAACUGUAUAACUAGAGUACUGGAGAGGUAAGCGGAACUACAAGUGUAGAGGUGAAAUUCGUAGAUAUUUGUAGGAAUGCCGAUGGGGAAGCCAGCUUACUGGACAGAUACUGACGCUAAAGCGCGAAAGCGUGGGUAGCAAACAGG